rnacentral:lncRNA from 12 species
GAGCCCGACACCGGGGAGCCCCCGGCGGAGGCCCGUCCGCCCGGAGCCCCGCUCGCGGAGCCGCCCUGGGGACCCGCCGGGGGUGUCGUCAAAUUGAUCUCCGAGUACGAAGCAGCCUGCGGCUCCGGCUCCGCGCGCCGCGGGGCCCGGUCAUCCAUCGGCCGCGGGGCAGUGCCCGGGCCUGCGAGGGCGAGGUGAGCCCCGGGAACGCGCGACGGGGUCGGGCGGGGCGAGCUGGGGUCGGGCGGCCAGUGUGGAAGCGCACGGAAGGCCCCCGAAGGAGGCCGACGCCUGGCGGGCUGGCGGGGGCGGGGGCGGGGGCGGGGGCGCCCACUGACACUCCGUGGCUGGAACUGAGGUCCGUGCCGGCCGCGGGGAAAGCCGAGUCCGGAGGGAGAGACCGGGGCCACCUCAUCGGGCCCUGACCUCGGAGCUCCGGGAUUCCCCUGCCUCCUCCCCGGAGCCUCCUUGGGCUAAAUGGUUCUUGCGUGUCCGAGGCACGCGCACUCCGUCCUGGACCUGACCGGAGAGAACGACUGACAAGGCUCAGAGCCCAGUCCUCGGAAGACUGAUAAGGGGGGAUCUGACUCGAAAACCCUAUAGCCCACCGAAAUAGUAGCGGCUCGCAGGGCUCGCACAGACCAGGCACUUGACCGGAGCGAGCUUGCUCAUCAUUUGGCAAGACUCUCCCAGAUGCUUUAUUGUAAUCCCCACCUGCAGAUGGGAUGCUGCGGCUAGGAAGUGUCGGUCACUUGCCCAAGGUCUACCUAGAGACCGGGUGGCUGUCCAGGCCUCUCUUCUCAGGGCCUGGCUGUCCCUGUCUGGAGGGCUCCGGGUACAGCCUGUGUGGCAAGCUGUUGCACUGUUGACAAGCACGGGUUGGUUGGAGCGUGGGGUGCUGAGCUGUUGGUAUUAAUAACCGACACGUGUCAGGGGCUUUGCAGUGAACAAAGCGCUUCUCCGAAAGCGGGUCUAGAGUUUCUCCGUUCUCUCCCAGGAGAGACAACUGAGCUAGCUAACAUUUUUAUAAUCUCCUAAUUUCCUGUAAAUUGCAAGUCCCUGCUGACUAUUCCUGAAAAUGUUUCGGGCCAUGGUUUUCAACCCUGGGUCUGUUCUCACUCCCGGCAGCCAGUUAGUUCCUCGGUCUGUGGUUUAUGGUGUAGUUUGUACUUUCUCUGCCAGGUCAGGAGGUAUUGGGCUUUGAUGCUCUGGGGUUUUCAAGGCUGCAGGGGCUGCCAGUUUCUCUUAGAUGCGAGUGGUGUUGAGUAAGCCGGGUGCUCUAGUAGAACUGCCCACCCCCCACCCCUGGCCUCAACAUUUCUUCAUGUAGAAAAGGGUCAGAGCCCCCUGCUGAACCCCAGUGAGGCAGGAGACAGUCUUCUAGGGCUGCCUGCUUUGCUCUCAAAAAAGGCAGUUUGCAUUUUC